GGGAUCUGCCGAAUGGAGGGGGACAACAGUUGGAAACGACUGCUAAUACCGCAUAAUGUCGCGAGACCNAAGCAUGGGACCUUAGGGCCAUGCGCCAUUUGAUGAACCCAUAUGGGAUUAGCUAGUAGGUGAGGUAAUGGCUCACCUAGGCGACGAUCUCUAGCUGGUCUGAGAGGAUGACCAGCCACACUGGGACUGAGACACGGCCCAGACUCCUACGGGAGGCAGCAGUGGGGAAUAUUGCACAAUGGGGGAAACCCUGAUGCAGCCAUGCCGCGUGUAUGAAGAAGGCCUUCGGGUUGUAAAGUACUUUCGGUAGCGAGGAAGGGGUUAUAUCUAAUAGGUGUAACCAUUGACGUUAACUACAGAAGAAGCACCGGCUAACUCCGUGCCAGCAGCCGCGGUAAUACGGAGGGUGCGAGCGUUAAUCGGAAUGACUGGGCGUAAAGGGCAUGUAGGCGGAUAGUUAAGUUAGGUGUGAAAGCCCCGGGCUCAACCUGGGAAUUGCAUUUAAAACUGGUUAUCUGGAGUAUUGUAGAGGAAGGUAGAAUUCCAUGUGUAGCGGUGAAAUGCGUANAGAUGUGGAGGAAUACCGGUGGC
rnacentral:rRNA from 1 species